CCUCAUCCAAAUUUGGGCAGACCCUAGAGCCCCCUCAGGCCUUAGCCCCUUUGAGCUACUCUAUGGGCGCCCUUUCUUAAUCAACCAAAGCUUUCCAAUCACUCCUCCUCCCCUGUGUCCUACCUGCCCUAUCUCACACUUAUACCAAACUCCUAAGGGACCACGCAGACAGGUGCCUUCCAGUGCCAUCUGUUACCUCAAUCCCAGUGCAACCACAAACUGAAUCGGACCCUCUUCAACUGGGUGACUCAGUCUUACUUCAGGAACUGCAUCCUCAAUCAUUGGAACCUCACUGAACGGGACCCCAUACAGUCAUACUUACUACCCCAACAGUGGCCAAGCUGUAGGGCCACUCCCCCUGGUACCAUGUCUCCUACCUUAAAAAGGCACCUAUUCCAAAUGUCCAGUCCUGGACUUCCACCACACCGGGGCCCACCAAAUUCAAGAUUUCUCGCCAACCCUCUUCUCUUUUACUAAUCAUUAAUCUCUCUCAAGCUUCUAUCCCAACCCACAGAUGGCGCUUCGACAUCCAAGCAACAUGGCACCAGGAUGGCACCACCC
rnacentral:lncRNA from 1 species